rnacentral:rRNA from 1 species
UACGUAGGCGGGGCAAUUAGUCAGUGGUGAAAUCCUGCGGCUUAACCGUAGAACUGCCAUUGAUACUGUUGCCCUUGAGUAUAGUUGAGGUGGGCGGAAUGUGUAAUGUAGCGGUGAAAUGCAUAGAGAUUACACAGAACACCAAUUGCGAAGGCAGCUCACUAAGCUAUAACUGACGCUGAGGCACGAAAGCGUGGGGAGCGAACAGGAUUAGAUACCCUGGUAGUCC